rnacentral:rRNA from 1 species
UACGUAGGGUGCGAGCGUUAAUCGGAAUUACUGGGCGUAAAGCGUGCGCAGGCGGUUUGGUAAGACAGAUGUGAAAUCCCCGGGCUUAACCUGGGAAUUGCAUUUGUGACUGCCCGGCUAGAGUUUGGCAGAGGGAGGUGGAAUUCCACGUGUAGCGGUGAAAUGCGUAGAGAUGUGGAGGAACACCGAUGGCGAAGGCAGCCUCCUGGGCCAGCACUGACGCUCAUGCACGAAAGCGUGGGGAGCAAACAGG